UAGAACAAUGAUUACAAAUAGUGGCGCAGGAGUCAUGAACCAGGAGUAAUGUAUGUGUGGGACUCUGAGCAUCAG